CCGCCAUACCACGUUGAAACACCGCUUCUCGUACGAUCAUCGCAGUUAAGCAACAUUGAGCUGGGACAGUUCCUAUAUCGGUAACCACUUGGGAAUACUAGGUAC